UGUCUGAUAUAGAUGAUCGAAAGUCGAUAUUUGAGAGUCUGUUCAUUUGCAAUGGUGGUGCAGUCAACGGGAAGAGUUACAAGCAGACGGUGAUUGUUGAUUCAAGAAGUUUGCCGCAGAGCUUGGAGUAAUGUCAUCGGAUGCCAUACCUCUUUACUGUGAUAAUAAUAGCACCAUAGCCCUAGCUAAGGAGCCAAGGUCUCACC
rnacentral:lncRNA from 1 species